AUACAGUAGGUCACUAGUAUUGAAUUCGAUUUUCUCAAGACAUCGAGAAUUAUCCCUCCUAGGUUUUACAGUCGGUACAUAGUGCAAGGUUCGACCUCGAUAAUUUUCACUACUUAAGUACUUAACGCAUUCAAUAAUUAUCAAAUAUUUGUCAUCGAAUAAAAUUCCAUUAUUGCUUUCCGACAAAGAGUAUACUUUUAAAUUUUGAAAAACGAGUGUUUUGGGGAUAAUAAAGCUCAACAUUGAACAUGUAUACCCUGGGUUUCAUGGCCUUCAGAGAGUUUCCUAGCUAGGUUUCUGUCAAGCUCGUCGUUGACUCUCAAUUUCUAGGGAGCACUGCUGAAAAAUUUAGAAGAGGGGAUGUUUUGUGCUAGUUUCGGUCGCAGCCUUGGUAAAAAUACAUUCUUCUAGACCGUGAAGAAUAUUAGAUUUUUCCUUUAUUUCUUAAAACUUUAAAGUAAACAUACAAACUCAACUUUCUAGCAAUAAAUGAACUUAACCAAGCAUGGGAGCCACAGCAAAUAUGAUCUGAUUAAUUAAUAGUUUAUACAAAAAGGGCAUCGCCGUUUUAAAGUAAACCAGGCAGACCAGCGUCAAUUGUAGCUUCGGUAAAAAAUUAUUAAAAUCCGGAAGAACAAAUUUUGUGAGGUUCGGGGGAGGGCAUUAUUUGAAUUUUAUUUCCGGAGGGGGGCAGCCCUCACCCAGCUACGGGCUUGGUUUCUGUGUAAUUACUGUACUUGGGACGCUGUAAGGGCAUAGUUAAUAGAAGAGAUGGUUUGGAAACUCAUUAGAAUAACAGUAUAAAUCAUUAUCUAUGUUAGUCAACGUUUAUUCAUAAGUCUAGUCCUUCACCUUCACCGUCACGUGCGUAUUGUAUUUUUGCCCAACUAACCAAUAGCAAUGUUUUAGGAAAGUUGCCUAUCCGUGCUAGAACAAUAGGAUAAAUUGGAAAUUGCUAUUGGUGGAUUUGGCAAAAAUACAAUACACAUGUGACGGUGAAGGACCAUAUUUAUGAAUAAACGUUGACUAAUAUCGAUAAUAAGUUAUAUUGUUAUUCCAAUGCGUUUCCAAACUAUCUAUUCUAUUAACUAUGGUGAAGGCUAUAGCUCUGGUUCACUGGGAAAUUCUUGUAAAAUUGGUUGUCUUUUAGUUUUCACAGUACUCAUAGUUUUCGUCAAUUUUUCUUUAAAAUUGUUGGGAAACAACUCAUCUUGUUCACCUGUUACUACGAUAUGGCAUUCCAGGGAGUAUCGAGAGUGUGUCUUUUGUAAACAAAGACAUUAUUUCCAGUUUACAAAAAUGAAUCUAAUUGUUAAACAAAGUCCAAGGAAAAUGAUUCUAUUCUUUUCAAUUCAAUCAAUAAAUAUUUUAUAUAGUAUAUUUGUAUCAGUCGAGUUAUUGAGCACGCAGGAAGUUGGGAGACUGCUCUUCCAUCAUGAUUUGGUUUGAAUAAAGUGGCGAGUGUUUUUAUUCAACAAAUUUUAGCAAUAUAGAUUAUUUGAGGAGAUGUUUGCCAAAAAUUAGGCCAAAAAAACUCCUGAGGCCGGUUGUAUAAAAACGCAGUUAGCGCUAACUGCAGUUAAAAAGUAGUUCAAUAGUGGUUAACUUUAAUCACGUAGUUAAGCCGGUUGUAUAAUAGUGUAGUUAGCCUUAACUGUAGUUAAAAAGUAGUUAAAAAGUAGUUAAUAAUAUAAUGCUAACUAUGCUUUAGAGUAUAGUUAACUAUCCAAAACUUAGUUAAAAAUGGCGCUUAUAUAAAGGAGUGAACAACAUUUUUUAGUAAAACAACAAUGAAAAGCCAUGCUUAUACCUUGGAUUUUCAAUCGCUAUCUUCCUUUGAAUGCUUUCUGAGAAUAUAAACUCUUCAAACGCUAUAUCGCUUUGGUGUUUUUACGAAGACAGAAUAUAUUUUUGCACAGGACGGACAAUUUCUCGAAGACGAACCAUUACACCAAGAAACACUGAUAUAUAAUUGCCAAACCGCUACACCUUGGUCUAACGUAGAC